rnacentral:lncRNA from 1 species
AGACAUUUUAACAAUAUUAAUUCUCUCAGUUCAUGAGCAUGGAAUUACCUUUCCAUUUGUUUGUGUCAUCUUCAAUUUCGUUCAUUAAUAUUUUAUAUUUUUUGAGAUUACAGGUGUUUCACCUUCUUGGCUAAGUUUAUUCCUAGGUAGUUUUUUGGUGUGAUUAUAAAUGGUAUUUUUAAAUUUUAAUUUCUGACUGUUCAUUGCUAAUGUAUAGAAAUACAAUUGAAAUUUUUAUAUUGAUCUUGUAUCUUGGAUCCUUGCUGAACUUACUUAUUAGUUCCAAUAACUUCAAAAAGUAGAUUUCUUAAGAUUUCCUACAAAGAUGAUCAUAUUCUCUGUGAAUAAAGGCAAUUUUAUUUCCUUCUUCCCAGUAGAAUCUUUUUAUUUAUUUUCUUUACUUGAUUUUAUCAGCUAGGCUAAAAUCAAGUUCAAGUUCCAAAGGGAGACCAUCUAGCUCACUGUCUCCUUUUACAGAUGAGAGAAUGGAGGAUCUGAGGAGAGAAAAACAUUGCCUUCGGCCAUACAGACAGUUAGAGGCAGAUUUACUACACAGCCGUACGACCCAUUCACAGCUUUCAGAUGCUAUGUUGAUGGUCACCAGUUCCCACAGAGAAAGCAACAGAGCCGGAAGGAAAUAGGAGCCAUGGCCAUCGACUAUCUCCUUGGGAUCCAGGGGAAAAGAAUUAUGUAUCUUUGUUGCUCUUACAUUUUCAUCCAUAAAGUGGGACUCUUGGCCUCAUGGACACUUGUAAGAAAUGCCUGUACUGGCAUCACAUUUUAGGCCGAUAUUUCAGACAAGCUGCUCUCCUUCAGCAAAGGAAGAACUGGGACAGAACCUCUCUGGUCCCUCAAGGGGAAAGGCUGAAAGAGGAGAAGGACGUGGAAGAAGAGAAAGGUGUGUUACAGAACAACAGAAAAUAUACUGCUUUUUUCGGUUGUUCGCUGGGGAGAGGAAUUAGUUGGGAUGAAGCCCUGCGCUCAGGUCUGACACCAAAAGCCCUCCUCCUGCUAAUUCAGACAUGGGCGGGGGGGCUGCAAGUGCUACCUCCCACAGAGGAUGCCUCUGGUGACUCCAGAAGGACCUGCAGAUAGAGUUGUCUUUUCAACACUGGGGACCCUUGAAGUCUUUGGUGGACACUCAGCUCCGGGCAGGCUGUGACCACAUGGGCACAGCCUGGGGGGUGGGUAGAGCUGAGAUAUGGGAAUGGGUAUGGCAAGCAGCAACCUUGAUUGAACAACUAAUAGCGAGACUAAAACAAAAUUACUUUUGAAAGGAGUAGGAGCUUGGACUUGUUCUGCGUUAUCGCCCUGAAGGCCUGUUUGGGUGAGCAAGAACGGAGCCCAGCAGGAAUUUCCAGACAGGGGCUAUUUCCGGAGUCAGGCAAGAAUGGUCGGUCUCCUGUGGCAAGGGUGCCCAUUCCUGGUGAAGCACACGUGGCCCUCAUCCUGAGGUCCACGGAGGUACAGGGAGGAGCGUGCAGAUCCCGCAGGGAGAGGUGAGCAAGAUUCACUCAGAGAAUUAGGAUGCUGGCCAAGUAGCUGCAUUUCAGGCCGGGAUCCUGGCUCACCAGGAAAAGGGUGAAAUAGAAACAGAAAAUCCUUGCCUUUGGAGCAGGGAGGGCUGCAUUUCACACCAACUCUGGCUUAGAAAACAAGAGUGAUCCUGGACGCCCCCUGCUGGAGAGGAUGUUGCAUCUCAUGGGUGGCCAAGAAGGAGGGCUCCUUGCCUCCAGAGCCAAGUGAAUUGAAUCUCAAAGACCAGGCUUGCAGGGUGGAAUCCCCUCACUCACCCUCUCUCAACACCCCACCAACACCUACUGAUCUCUAGAGCACAGGGGCCUUCUUCCACCUACAAACAGAUCAAGUUUGCACGUGAGUCUUGGCCCCUGGACUCAUCAAUUAUCAGCUCAAGAAAGCCCUGAGUGGAAAAUUCCAAGAGGACCAUGCUGGCUUCAGUGCCUACAGUUCUCUUUAUACGCUGCCAGGUCUGGGUCUCGGGCCCUCUAUUUCUAAGUACGGGCUUUGAGACAGUGGGUCUUGGUGGAGUUGGGCUUGCUUUCACUCACAAGAGCAGUGAUGGUCUCUGAUGGCUACCAGCAUCCAAACCCGAGUGUCCCCUGUGAAGCACUGGAAGAGAGAGGCCAAGAGAGGCAGUAUACCCGACCUGCUGGGGGUCCAUUGCUGGACAACAGGAUCAGAAAAGACCACUGCCCACCAGAAUAGAGCUGUUCAUAAAAUCAAGCGCACAAGCUGAAAAGUUGAGUUUUGUCAACUAGGAGGACAACAAAUGGUUUUGACAGCCAGACCGGGGGAUGGCUUCCCUUACGUCAGAUUCAGAUCAUCACUGCCACCUGUAGGGUUUUUGUCUGCUCACUGGUCUUGUUUUUUGUUUUUAAGAUUUUAUUUAUUUAUUCAACAGAGAUAGAGACAGCCAGCGAGAUAGGGAACACAAGCAGGGGGAGUGGGAGAGGAAGAAGCAGGCUCAUAGCAGAAGAGCCUGAUGUGGGGCUCGAUCCCAUAAGGCCAGGAUCACGCCUUGAGCCGAAGGCAGACGCUUAUCCACUGUGCCACCCAGGUGCCCCCUCACUGGUCUUGUUUUAACCUCACCCGGAGCCCUCUGCUCCAGCCGUGAAAUGGGAUUAAGCCCCGCCCUUCCACAAAAUUAAGACAAGGCUAUUUAUGUGUGUUAAGAUGAAUUGAGACCAUAGCCAAUGGUAAUGAUUUAUUUUUUUAAAGCAUUCGUUUAUUGUGGGAAAAUACACAUAACAUAAAACUUACCAUUUUAGCCAUUUUCAGUAUACAGUUCAGUGGCAUUAAGUACCUUCACACUGUUUUGCAACCAUCACCAUUCUCCAUCUCCAGAACUUUCUCAUCUUUCCAAACGGAAACUUUGCACCUGUUAAACAACCUCUCAUGUCCCCAUUCUACCUUGUGUCUCUAUGAAUCUGACUAUUCUGGGUAUCUCAUAUACAUGGAAUUGUGUAGUCUUUGUCUUUUUGUGACUAACUUAUUUCACCUGGUGUCAUGUCUUCUUUCAGAUGUCUAUGCAGAAGUGGAAUUGCUGGAUCAUAGGGUAGUUCUAUUUUAAAGUUCUUGAGGAACCCACACAUUGUUUUCCUUAUUGGCUGAACCAGUUUCAACUCCCUCCAACAGUGCAUGAGGGUUCCCUUUCUCCACAUCUUCGCCAAUGCUUGAGAUCUCUUGUCCUUGUGUUAACAGCUAUCCUAACAGGUGUGAGGUGGUAUCUCAUUGUGCUUCUGCUUUGCUUUUCCCGGAUGAUGACUGAUCUUGAGUGUCUUUUCAUGCACCUGUUGGCCAUUUGUAUGUCUUCUUGGGAAGAUUGUCUAUUGGGGCCCUUUGCCCAUUUUUAAGUUGGAUCAUUAUUACUAUUAUUAUUUUAAAAGAUUUAUUUAUUUAUUUAUAGAGCACAUGCACGAACUGGGGGGAGAAGGGGACAGAGGGAGAGGGAGAGAAUCCCAAGCUGACUCUGUGCUGAGCUUGGAGCUUGAUGCAUGGUUCAGUCUCACGACCCUGAGAUCAUGUCCUGAGCCGAAAACAAGGGUCAGACGCUUCACCUAUUGAGCCACCCAGGUGCCCCGGAUUAUAAUUUUUUUUAUUAAGUUUUAAGAUUUCCCUAUAUAUUUUGGAUAUCAACCCCUUCUUAGAUGUAUGGUUUGCGGAUAUUUUCUCCCUUUCUGGGGUUGCCUUUCCAUUUUGUUGAUGGCUGCCUUUGCUGUGUAGAAGGGGCUUUUAGAUUUGAUAUAGUUCCCCCUUGUUGAUUUUUGGUUUUGUUGCUUUUGGGCAUCUGGUGUCAUCCAAACACGUCAUUGUCAAGUACAAUCCCAAGGAGCUGUUCCCUGUGCUUUCUUCUAUGAGUUUUAUGGUUUCAAGUUUACAUUUAAGUCUUUAAUCCAACUCAAGGUGAUUUCUGUGAGUGGUGUAAGACAGGGGUCUAAUUUCAUUCUUUUGCAUGUGAAUAUCCAGUUUUCCUAUCACCAUCUAUCAGAGACUGUCCUUUCUCCUUGAGUAUUCUUGGCUGCCUUGUCAAAUAUUAGUUGACCAUAUACACCUGGCUUUAUUUCUGGGCUUUUGAUUCUGUUCCGUUGGUCUAUGUGUCUGAUUUUAAUGCCAGUACCCUACCGUUCUGAUCACUAUAGCUGUGUAAUAUAGCUUGAAACCAGGCAGUGAGAUACCUCCCUCUUUAUUCUUCUUUCUUAAGGUUGCUAUGGCUCUUCGAAGUCUUUUGUGUUUCCAUAUGAAUUUUGGGUUUUUACUAUUUUGGUGCAAAAUGCCAAGGGAAUUUUGAUAGGGAUUGCACUGAAAUACUAGGUCAUUCUGGAAGGAAUGCUUAAACUUCUAAUGGUGACUGAUGAACACAAUGGUGAGGGGGAGAGGGACUUCAGGCUCAUCUAGGCCAGGUUAAGACCUUUAGAAGGUCUGUCUCUCGGCUCCACAUGCUUGCUUCCAAGGGCUGCUUUCCAUCGUUGAGGCUGAAAGCCUGCAGCCUACAUGCUAUGACUCCCUGACUUUUCUCCCCUACAUUUCUUUUCUCCCCUUACAUUCCUGUUAGAACCCACCAAAAAGAGGCCCUAUGACGAGAUCAGAUGGCAAGGAAGAGAGAUAAGGAUCCAUUUCAACAGGUGUUGGAAGUUGCUGGUGUGGCAAUGGACAUGGAGCCCCGGUCUAGUUCAUGCAUCUGGUAGAUCCAGAACCAACCAUGAUGCAGCAGGAAGCAGACGCCCCUGGGGCUGGAAUGCACGACAGAAGCAGGGGUGGGGGCAGCAUAUAAUCACUGAAUUUACCCUUUUAGCUCUUCCUUACUUUUGUACUCAGUUCUCCGUGUUACAUUCCCCCUGCUUGAAAUACCUAGAAUGGUAGCAAUUAUCCUGCCUGGACCCUGAGUGGCAUCCUUUCAUGCAGUUUAAUACAAAAAGAACAUCAAACCUUAAAAAACUUUGGUGUGUAUGCUUCCAGACUUUCCCCCUAGGAUUUUACCAUACAAAUGAUUUAAUACUGUGUGUAUUUACGGAAGUAUUAUCAUUCAUGUGCAUUCUUCCACAACUUGAUUUAAAAAAAAAAUGACAACCAGUCUUGGAGUUCUCGACAUGGUGUUGUAAAUAUGAGCUAAUUGCAUUUAAUCGAUGCCUUGUGUUCUAACAGCCAUUUAUCUACUGAUGGCCAUUCAGGUUUUCAACAUGUCUGCUCUUAAUAAGGCGCUGUGCUGAACAUUCUUUUUUUUUUUUUUUUAAAGAUUUUAUUUAUUUAUUUAUUUUUUAUUUGACAGAGAUAGAGACAGCCAGCGAGAGAGGGAACACAAGCAGGGGGAGUGGGAGAGGAAGAAGCAGGCUCAUAGCAGAGGAGCCUGAUGUGGGGCUCGAUCCCAUAACGCCGGGAUCACGCCCUGAGCCGAAGGCAGAUGCUUAACCGCUGUGCCACCCAGGCGCCCCUGUGCUGAACAUUCUUAAACGUGUGCCCAUGUUUCCCUGUGGUCAUUAACCAGACGUGGGAUCGCAGAGUUGAAGGGUGUACACAUUGUAGAUUUGACUACAGUUUGCCCGAUUGUUCCUCAAAGUGGCCGUACCGAUUUGCACUCCCACCCAGGGGCAGGAGAAUGUCCUCUCCAAUUCUUGCUAUUUC